rnacentral:rRNA from 1 species
GAUGAACGCUAGCUACAGGCUUAACACAUGCAAGUCGAGGGGAAACGACAUCGAAAGCUUGCUUUUGAUGGGCGUCGACCGGCGCACGGGUGAGUAACGCGUAUCCAACCUGCCCACCACUUGGGGAUAACCUUGCGAAAGUAAGACUAAUACCCAAUGAUAUCUCUAGAAGACAUCUGAAAGAGAUUAAAGAUUUAUCGGUGAUGGAUGGGGAUGCGUCUGAUUAGCUUGUUGGCGGGGUAACGGCCCACCAAGGCAACGAUCAGUAGGGGUUCUGAGAGGAAGGUCCCCCACAUUGGAACUGAGACACGGUCCAAACUCCUACGGGAGGCAGCAGUGAGGAAUAUUGGUCAAUGGACGAGAGUCUGAACCAGCCAAGUAGCGUGCAGGAAGACGGCCCUAUGGGUUGUAAACUGCUUUUAUAAGGGAAUAAAGUGAGUCUCGUGAGACUUUUUGCAUGUACCCUAUGAAUAAGGACCGGCUAAUUCCGUG